UACGUAGGUGGCAAGCGUUAUCCGGAAUUAUUGGGCGUAAAGAGUGAGCAGGCGGUUGGUUAAGUCUGAGGUUAAAGCGUGGAGCUCAACUCCAUAAAGCCUUGGAAACUGGCUGACUAGAGUACGGAAGAAGUGAAGGGAACUCCAUGUGUAGCGGUGAAAUGCGUAGAUAUAUGGAAGAACACCAGUGGCGAAGGCGCUUCACUAGUCCGAAACUGACGCUCAGUCACGAAAGCGUGGGUAGCAAAUA
rnacentral:rRNA from 1 species